ensembl:lncRNA LOC120098901 uncharacterized LOC120098901
AUGAGGGCUCUGUGCCCAGCCAAUGGCGCGCGCGCGCUCUGACUCGCGGGCGCGCUGCCUCCGUCGCAGCCCUCGCCGGGUGGCGCGCACCCGCAACCCACCUGCGGGCGCGUAGACCCUACCCUGGCUUCUCCCGCGCGCCGCGCGCGGCCCACACUGCCUCCCUAACCCCGCCUGCCGCGCGCACGCGCUCUCGGCUCUCCCUGGCGCCGCAGCCUGCGCGCCUUCUCACGCUGGAAGCGAAGAAGGUUGGAGCGCGCCAGAAGCGCGGGCUGUGGCAAGCUGCUCCGCGCGUCCGCUCGCCCGGCGAUGGCGGAUAGGCUCUAUUCACAAUGCCAGGCAGAGCUAGGACUGCCAUCCCGGGCUGCGACGAGACAAGCGCGCGCUGAUUGAUUGCUUGUUGACCACACAUUGGGAAACUGAGGCCCGAACCGCCUAAGAUUCUCUUUCCCGGCUCUGCGAGCCCAGCCGACGUUCCUUACAAGGUCCCGGCAGUGAGGAAUGAGCGGCCACCUGAGGACUGCACCGGGCAGGGAGCAAGAACUCAGUGGCCCUGCCCUUUCUUUUCAUCAUCUGCUGCAGAACAGCAUCAUAUUCAAGAAUGAGGACAUGAUGAGCAGGGGGUGGUGCUUACCUUCUGAGGCCCUCACAAUCCACUGGCCAAAAGGAUCAUUCUGAACAACGAUUUGUACCUGACUCAUCAGUUUUCACGACAGGAUGCUUCCCGAGCAAGAUAAAAGGGUCCAGGAGACACGGGGCCAUUCAUCUACACAUUCUGGAGGCGGAAGUCAGACAUGAUUUUCUGGACUCACAGACAACCCAGGAGCAAUAAGAGAAAACAUCACAUUUGUCUUUCGGAGACUGACCUAAGACGACUCCUAUGAUUCUCUUCAGCAGCAUCCAUGCUUCUGUGAACAGUGUGACUUCUUUUGUGGGUACUGAGAAAUCCAUCAUGUGUAUUUCACAUCCUGGUUAUCCAUUGCUCUUUUGAUGGAUGCUGUACUGGCUGGUUCUGUGUGUCCACUUGACACAAGCUGGGGUUAUCCCAGAGAAAGGAGCCUCCCUUGAGGAGAUGCCGCCAUGAGACCCAGCUGUAAGGCAUUUUCUCAAUUAGUGAUCAAGGGGAGAAGGUCCAGCCCAAUGUGGGCGGUGCCAUCCCGGGGCUGGUGGUCCUGGGUUCUAUAAGAAAGCAGGCUGAGCAAGCCAGGGGGAGCAAACACAGUAAGCAACAUCCCUCCAUGGCCUCUGCAUCAGCUCCUACUUCCAGAUUCCUGCCCUGUGUAAGCGCCUGUCCUGACUUGCUUUGGUGAUGAACAGCAAUG